CGAGUCGCGAGUCACGCGUCCUCUGCUGCAGGGAGGCUCCGCCGCCUGCCGUCCCCACAACCUCGCGGAUUGCAGCCUCCCCGUCGUCCGUGCCCGCCGGCCGUCCCUGCCGGCCAUCCUCGCCGCCCUCCCCACCGCCCUCCCCGCCGGCAGUCCGCUUCGGCCGUCCUACCUGCCGGCCGCCUUCCCCGUCGUCCGUGCCCGUAGAAAGGUUGCAGGUUUUUGGAUUCAGUUAGGAUAUUGUGGCCCUACCAGAGGCAGGGGGCCGCCGGCUACAUCUCCUCCGCGCACGCCGCUGGAUGCUUGUGUGAAUAAAAUCUUCUGAGUCCCUUGUGUAAGUUGCCUUUUUUCUUCCCUUGUCAAUGCAAACCCUCCCUCUUCUUGCAGCAGAAUUAGAAUACAGAGAUCAGUAAUGUUAAUGAUCUGCUUGGACUCUGAAAUCCUGAUUCUAUUAUUCUAGCAUUGUAGUCGCAAUGAAUCUUGAGAGUAAAAACGAAAGAAAGUUCUAAUAAUUGGAGAUCAAGAAGAUUGCAAAAUAUUUUUAUAUUGAACUGAGAGAAUAUUUUUAUAAUUUCUACAAUACAUUCUGUUGUGCGGGCUUCUGGAAUAGAUGCACUUAAUGUGAAAAAGCUCUCAAAUGUGCUGAUCUCUGAAGUGUGUAAUCUGUAGCUUACUCUUGGAAGUUGACAAGAUUAUAUACACAGGCAUGUAAUUAAUUUUCUUCCAUUGUAUAGCAUAGUGUUGCAUUUUAAUGUGUGUCAACUAAAAAUAUUCACACAUUCUUUGUGCAUGGCAGCGGGCUCCUGAUCCACCGGAACCUGCUGCUUAUGCACGACAUGAGAGCAUGCAGCUCCCUUGUGUGGUAAUCCUGCCUCAUGAAUUUCCACCUUAUGCUAUUCUUAUCUAUUUUAUUUUUGAAACAAGCAACACCAUUUCACUGAUGGGUCAGUCAUCCUUGCACACUGAAGCUUCUCUAUAUCAAGUAAGUGCACACUGAAGCUGCCAUUACAAAAUGGCAGAAAGGAUGAUUGAGUUUCUCUCUAGCUUUCAAUGGUUCUUUCAUUGUAUCAAGUAAAUGAACACUGAAGCGGCCACUAUAGAUGAUGUCUCGUCUGUUUCAGUUUCUAACGUUUUAAAGAAAACUGAGCAAGCAAAAAUUGAAAGGCAAACCCAAAUAUUAUACUUUUCAUUUCCUUUUCUCCCAUAAUAUACUUGUAUGAUCAACAUGAGGUUAUCUAUUGCAAUCUUAUAUGCAGAAAAGUGAAUGAACCAGCCCGGGUGCCUUCUCAUUCCGUCAGCUAGACAGGUUCCAUAUUUGCAUAUGCGGCUCCUAGAUGCACUGCAUUGCCCACGACAGUAGUGUUGUGAGGGAUAUGAGAAACCAUGAUGAGUAUUUACUGCCUCUUGUAGGGUUUUCCCUCCAUUGGCCAUUCCAUUUUGAAAUUGAAUGUUACUUGUUGUUCAGUAGUGUCUCAUGGAAUAUGAGGCCAGAGGCACUGAAGAAUGGUGCCUAGGGUUUUUGGUUGUUUUUCAAUAACUUUGAGUUAUCUAUAGUUUUUAACAGGAGUGAGAUUAUUGGCUCUUUUAUUGGUUUUCAGCGAUUUUGAGUUAUCUAUAUUUUUAACCAGACUGCAUAGCAUUUUUCACUCUGUUUUGUUUGUAGCCAUAGUGCGCUUGGGAACCUAAUAGAGCUUUCAAGUUUCAACUGGCUGUGUGCUUGCAAACAAUGGAAAAUUUGCUUCGAAUUUGUGCAGACGUUUAAUUGAUGCUUCUAUACUUAAACAUUAAAAUUCUUAACUGGUUUCUUGUGCCUAGCUGAACCAUAUUUGCUUCAGUAAUGGUGUAACCAGUUCCAGAAUAACCAAACAAAGACUUUGCCACUGUGAUCUGAAGAGGUAGCCCAGCUUAAUUCAUGAAAAGGAACAACUCCUUCUAUUAGCAAUUGAAAAUUGUUUAUAAUUUAUAGUUCAACAAAUAAGGAUCCUUGAGUAUGAUGGUUGAUAAAGCAAUGGCCAACUUUUUCUUGAGAAAGUUUACUAUGCACUGGAUGUUUAAGUUUGAAGUUGGAUUCACAUUCAGAGUUACUGAUAAAGAAUAUGAACACUGACAUAUCUUUGCAUAGGUUCAGAAGUAUCUUUGCUGACGAGAUGAUCGGGGGAUUUUGAUUAAAGACAUCGAGUGUCGUCGUUUCUAUUGGUAUUUAACUAUUUAUGGGGGUGCUUUUUAGCUGGAGCUCUUGUUUGAUCUCCAAGAAUGGUGUAAGACUAUUCCUGUGUUCAUCACUCGAACAAUUUCUAAAGUUGUUACCACCGUCUUGGGUAUGUAUAUUGUUAGCUGUGACCUGAUGAGAUUAUUAUUUUUUAAAAAUGAAGAAAUAUCCAUCUUUUUUGCUA